CGGACGGGCUGGUAUUUUGAGCUUUUGCACAGCGUUGGCGCGGGAGGACCAGGUGUAAGCGUUUAGCCCCUGCCGGCCCCCAUCUCCGGAGCCUCAGCAGGAUCUGUUUAAUCUUAAAGCGCGGGAUAGGAAUUACUCAUCUGUAGUUUGCCCCGCAGGACGGAGAUGAAAGAAAUCUCUUCACUGGCACCUCACACAAGAUAAGCAAGUCUAGUCCGUCUGAUGCUGUGAAAUCCAUCCAAGUUGCUGCAUGUAUCAAUAGCGUGCUUCUGCUAAUUGCUAUACAGUAGUAUUGUGUUAUAUGGAUACAUCAUUGUUUAUUCUUUUAUCUGUUAAAGGACAUUUGGGUUAUUUCCUGGUUUUAGCUAUUGCAAGUAAAGUUACUGUGAAUGUUUGUGUACAGGUUAUUAUGUCAACAUAAGUUCUCAUAUCUCUAGGAUAAAUGGCCAAGUGUGCAAUUGCUAGGUUAUAUGGUAAGUGUAUUUUUAACUUUAUAAUAAACUGCCAAACUAUUUUCCAGAAUAAUGGUGCCGUUGUAUA